GUGCUCGCUUUGGCAGCACAUAUUCUAAAACUGUGACGAUACAGAGAAGAUUAGCAUAGCCCCUGGGCAAGGAUGGCACACAAAUUCGUGAAGCGUUCCCUAUUUUU